UUCAGCUUAGUAUAUUCAAAUUGGUGUUUUAGAAUGUUCUCUUCCUUCAUCUUCAUAAAGAUAUUUGUAUUAUAGAUGUAGAAAUACUCUUGUAAGUUGUACAGGUUAUCACAACUGGGAAGUUACUUAGCAAGCACAUUGCAAAAUCUUCUCUAUAAAAUAUGUGGCCCACUAAUCUGUGUUAUAAUUAUCACAUUCAUGUUACACAGAUAAUCCAUGUAUCUGUUCUUGUAUUUACAAAGUAUUAAAAGUAUUUACUUCUAUUUUGCCAUAUUCCAAAUCAUUGACAAGGAGAUGGGUAUAAAUACAAAUAGUUUGGGGGAAUAUAGAUUUCUCAUAUUUUAAAGCUUUUCUUUAGAUUUUAUUAAAAUUUAAAAACAAACAUAACCUGCUUACUGCAUAUAACGUAUUUCAGGCAGCAUCAAUGCUAAUGGCAUAUUUCUGUUCAGUGACCUACAGUCACUAAACAUACUUAAGAGUAGGCAUUUAACUUUUUCCAUUAAGAAAUGACAGACUGAGGGAUAAAAACACCUUUCAAUGUUUUGAGGAAGCAGCAGCAUUUGAGAGAGAAUAACUGAACAUUGACCACCAUGUUAUUCAUUUAGAUAAUCCCUUUUCUGCAGCACAAAUUUCAGAAAUUUAUUUUUCUUCUACUCUUGGGUUCUUACCUAGCUGCUCCUCCCCUAUUAGGGAAAAGUAGAAAUAACCACAGUGGGGUUCCGACCACACCUUCUGUUUUGCAUCUGUAUGACCUAAUCAUUUUCCUCUUAACUUUUUGAAGGAAGUAAUGAAUGAAUAAUGCUUUUGUUUAUAUAUGUAGGCAUAUCUCACUAGACUCUUUGAAGUUUUAAUUUCAGAAGAUGAAAUAUUUACUUGAGAUGACUGGCUGUUUAAAAUUGUCUUAAAGUACAUAUUUGAUUGUGUUUAUUAUAAUUUUUUGUUACAAACUUAAAAUUUUAUGGCCAAAAUGUAUAAGAACCUUAUGUAUUUGUGAAGUGUAUAUGUACAGAAUUAUGUUUUCAUGGUGGAAAAUGAGUUAUAUUCAGGAAUCUUAACUUGAAUCCUGGGAACCAGUUUCACUGGGAAUCUGCUCCUUAUAAGAUUUUUUUUUUUUUUUUUUUUUGUAGAGACAGAAU